AUUGAACGCUGGCGGCAUGCCUUACACAUGCAAGUCGAACGGUAACAGGUUAAGCUGACGAGUGGCGAACGGGUGAGUAAUAUAUCGGAACGUGCCCAGUAGUGGGGGAUAGCCCGGCGAAAGCCGGAUUAAUACCUCAUACGACCUACGGGUGAAAGGGGGGGAUCGCAAGUCCUCCCGCUAUUGGAGCGGCUGAUAUCAGAUUGGGUAGUUGGUGGGGUAAAGGCCAACCAGGCCUGCGAUCUGUAGUUGGUCUGAGAGGACGACCAGCCACACUGGGACUGAGACACGGCCCAGACUCCUACGGGAGGCAGCAGUGGGGAAUUUUGGACAAUGGGCGCAAGCCUGAUCCAGCAAUGCCGCGUGCAGGAAGAAGGCCUUCGGGUUGUAAACUGCUUUUGUCAGGGAAGAAAUCCUCUGGGUUAAUACCUCGGGGGGAUGACGGUACCUGAAGAAUAAGCACCGGCUAACUACGUGCCAGCCGCCGCCGUAAAAC
rnacentral:rRNA from 1 species